UUACAGGGGAAUAGCCCAGAGAAAUUUGGAUUAAUGCCCCAUAGUAUAAUUGAAUGGCAUCAUUUAAUUAUUAAAGUCACAACGGUAAAAGAUGAGCAUGCGUCCCAUUAGUUAGUUGGUAAGGUAACGGCUUACCAAGACUAUGAUGGGUAGGGGUCCUGAGAGGGAGAUCCCCCACACUGGUACUGAGACACGGACCAGACUCCUACGGGAGGCAGCAGUGAGGAAUAUUGGACAAUGGGCGCAAGCCUGAUCCAGCCAUGCCGCGUGCAGGAAGAAGCAUCUAUGGUGUGUAAACUGCUUUUGUACAGGAAGAAACACUCCCUCGUGAGGGAGCUUGACGGUACUGUAAGAAUAAGGAUCGGCUAACUCCGUGCCAGCAGCCGCGGUAAUACGGAGGAUCCAAGCGUUAUCCGGAAUCAUUGGGUUUAAAGGGUCCGUAGGCGGUUUAAUAAGUCAGUGGUGAAAUCUGGUCGCUCAACGAUCAAACGGCCAUUGAUACUGUUAGACUUGAAUUAUAAGGAAGUAACUAGAAUAUGUAGUGUAGCGGUGAAAUGCUUAGAUAUUACAUGGAAUACCAAUUGCGAAGGCAGGUUACUACUUAUGGAUUGACGCUGAUGGACGAAAGCGUGGGGAGCGAACAGGAUUAGAUACCCUGGUAGUCCACGCCGUAAACGAUGGAUACUAGCUGUUGGAAGCAAUUUCAGUGGCUAAGCGAAAGUGAUAAGUAUC
rnacentral:rRNA from 1 species